UCUCCUCGCACUCUGCCCCCGUCGCCCUCCGCGCCCCUCGCCUCCUGCCCCUUCUCGCCUCCUGCCCCCCUCGCCUUCCCGGCUGAGCAGCCGCGGCUGUGGGUGGCCGCGCUCGCUGCGGGCUGGGCCGGCGCCGCAGCAGGCUGCAAUCGGGGCUGCGUGCGGGAGAAACCGCUGAGGAGAGAGAGCCGAGAGGGCCGAGCGUGGGGACGGCCAGCCGUGCAGCCCCACACGCUCCCGGCGGGACACCGGGCCCAGCCUGACCUGGCAAGGCUUUAGGCAGCAGAGGGGAAAGAGAGGAGCAAGGAGAAGGGACAGGGCUGCUUCCAGACGUGUCCUGUUCGGCAUCCCUGGGCUGUGCUAACGAUGGCUUAAAACCUCGGUGGCCUCUUCCAGCCUACAUCCAGUAUGGAUGUUUACUACCACAAACCUGCUUCAAGCACCACCACAUAUUCUGAAAAAGAAUAUCUUUACCUGAAUUUACGGUGUUGUUGGGCAGAGAAGGAAAAUACAACAGAUACAUUCUGAAUGGUAGACUGGGGGAGAGCAAGAGGUCGGGACACAGCUGGGACAGCCAACCACAAAAUGAUCAACAUACUAAUAAAAGCUGAGGAAGGAAGAAACAGGGUGACAUUCAGGUUUACAGCGUUUGUCUUCCUGAGGAACAGCUGUAUGUGAUGGAGCCUUGCUUUGCUGCAAAUGGAAGAACACC